CCGCGAUCCUACUUGAGGGAAAACAGGCUAUCUCUUUAGCCCCGCCCCGCGCUUUGCAUUCUGGGAAGCGGAGUUCCAGCCUUUCUCUUUCCGCGGGAGGGAAUGAAAGGGAGGGUGAGAACCGUUAGUUAUUUCUUUCUUUGGUCGUGCCCCUAAUCAGGUCCAGGAUUCGAGUUUGUGUUCUUUCGUUUUAAUUCCUUUUAAAGCGCGUUCGUUUGCCUGAGAUCUAGCUUCUAGAUGGCGUUCCUAUAGCCUCCCGGAGCCCCAGCCAUCCUCCGUAGAAGGGUCCCUGCCGCAGUGCGGGGCCUGAGGGAAGUCGGCUCUGGCGUCCGUGCUCCAACGCUGGGAGCAGCCCUGAAACUCCAGUGACCCUCAGCCGUCUGCCUUUGUUUUGGGAUAAAUGAAUUCAAGCAUUCUUCAGUCAAUUCGAUUUAUCCAAGGGAUCAGGGACACAUUUUCUCUAUUGCUAGCACUGACGUGGGCCAUUAAAAACAAAAACAAAAACGAAAUUAAAAAGAAAACCCUUAGCUCUCUCUUCAAGUGGUGGAUGUGCCCAAGACACAGGGAAGAAAAAGAAGUAAACAGGGAAGUACAACACAGACUCUGAAAUGGGGCAUCAUGGAAGACGGAGCUUUGUCGUCUUGGUCUUUGCUGUAUAUUCACUUCCUACAACAGUGCUAAAUACCUUGUGGAUGCUUAAAUAUAUUAAAUGAAUGCAUAAAUGAAAAGAGUAAAUAAAGAGUGUAUAUGAAAGUAUGUAGAUAAAAUUCUUCACUAAGCCUUGGGGAUCCAGCUGCUUAAGGACUAAGACCGUAUCUAGCUCCUUUUAGUAUUUCCACAGCAUGCCAUGGAGAUACAUGUUUCUGAUUAUAUAUGAUACAUGGAAAUUAUAUGUUGUUGAAUGAGUGAUUGAGUAAAUGUGUACUAGGGCAGCUAAUCAUAAAUAUUUCUACUAUUGCUAAAAUGACUGGAUUUAUCCAUUCCUUCUGAGAGUUUAUACUGAUUGCUUAUAUUGUAUCAAAUACCGUAACUGAGGGCAAUGUUUACUCAAACUAAUAGCACCAUUCAAAUUUAUGCAAACAAUAACACUAUAUCUUUAAAAUGUUUUCACUAAAAGCUGCAUAAAGAGUGUAUUCAACAACAAUAGAAUAAUUUUACAAUCUUUUUUCUUGCUUAAUGGCCAUUUGUGCCUUCUGACAUGCUGCUAGCCAUUCAAAGGUCACACUACCUUGAAGUUGAAGAUCAAGACAAAUGAUUAGACUCAUAAAAGACAAAUCACGUCUUUCUGGACAG
rnacentral:lncRNA from 1 species